rnacentral:rRNA from 1 species
UACGAAGGGGGCUAGCGUUGCUCAGAAUUACUGGGCGUAAAGGGAGCGUAGGCGGACAUUUAAGUCAGAGGUGAAAUCCCGGAGCUUAACUUCGGAACUGCCUUUGAUACUGGGUGUCUUGAGUGUGAGAGAGGUAUGUGGAACUCCGAGUGUAGAGGUGAAAUUCGUAGAUAUUCGGAAGAACACCAGUGGCGAAGGCGACAUACUGGCUCAUUACUGACGCUGAGGCUCGAAAGCGUGGGGAGCAAACAGG